rnacentral:rRNA from 1 species
GACGAACCGUGCGAACGUUGUUCGGAAUCACUGGGCUAAAGGGCGCGUAGGCGGCCCGCCGCGUCCGGGGUGAAAUCCUCCCGCCGUCAACGGGAGAACGGCCUCGGAUACGGGCGGGCUGGAGGGGGGUAGGGGCAGGCGGAACGUGUGGGGUGGAGCGGUGGAAAUGCGUUGAGAUCCACAGGAACUCGGUGGCGAAGGCGGCCUGCUGGACCCCAAUCGUGACCGUGAGGCGCGAAAGCCAGGGGAGCGAACGGG